CCAAGUUCAUCCUCCAGCUUAGCGUCAAGUCAGCAGAAUGAAGAAACCUUUGAGUUGCAAAAUAUAGAAGAAGCUGGUGAAAAACAAAAGCAUGAAUCAGUUUCUGAAAUUGCUGAAUUAGAAAAUCCCCUCAAAAUAGGCCAAUUUGGAAACAGAGAAGCCAGUGGUAGUGAGAGUUCACGGAUUGAAUUUAGGGGCUUGGAUCAUGCAGAUUCAUUGGGUCUGAUACUGAUCAGUAGCAGAACAAGGUACCUAGUCAACUGGCUGGUCAAUGCAAUGAUGAGUCUUCAACACCCACAUUCAGAAUACGGUCUUCCCUUAGUUAGAAUAUAUGGACCAAAGGUAAGAUUCGAUCGAGGACCAGCAGUGGCCUUCAACGUGUUUGAUUGGAAAGGAGAAAAGGUUGAUCCUGUACUUGUACAGAAACUAGCCGAUAGGAACAACAUUUCUCUUAGUUUUGGGAUUUUGAAAAACAUUUGGUUCUCAGACAAAAAUGAUGAAGAGAGAAAUUUAAUGGAGACAAGAACUCCUGAGCACAGAAAUACUUUGAGAAAUAAGAGAGCGAAAUAUGAUUUAGGAAUAUCUGUGAUAACAGCUUCACUUGGGUUAUUGACAAACUUUGAAGACACUUACAGGCUCUGGGCAUUUGCUUCCAAGUUCCUAGACGCAGACUUUGUGGAGAAAGAGAGAUGGAGAUACAGUGCUCUUAAUCAAAGUACUAUUGAGGUGUAGGGUAGGCUGUCCUUAAUUUUUCAUUCUUUCACAUUAUAAGACCUUAAGGUGUAGAAUUUUUUUUUUUUUUUGAGAGUCAUGUCAAUCUGUAAAUUCAAGGGAUUAUUUACCUCUACAUGACCAUGAAUCGGAUCAUUGAGAUGGGGCCAUUACAGGAUCUCAUAAAGAGUGUUAACACAUUAUAACUUGUUAAUUUAUAGUGUAGUUAUUGACAUUAUAUAAUCUCGCAGCAAACCUCACCUGUGUGGAUAACUUUGCAUAACAGUAAACACUGAAGACUGUCUGAUCAUGUGUCAUCCUCAUUCAAACUUCAAGUUUCAUACAUACAACAUUAUGUUUUGACAACAUAUGAUAUACACUAACAAACUCUCAUCAGCUUUCAACAUUUAGAUAUCAUACAGUGUAUAUGAAUCAAUACAUAGUUUCAGCCAUCAACAAGGGAGGUCCUCAAUUUUGGACCUUUUGGUUAUUAAGGUCUAUAACUGCAUCACAAAUAAAAGGAGGAUGAAUUUUGUAAUUAAGACAAAGUGCAUUGAAGAAAGUAUAGAGAAAGGACUUUUUCACAAGUAUUUCCUUGUCGAAGUGUUAAAGACUUCCCAUAUUUAACCUUGAAAUCGGCUAGCUUCCUAUUAUUGUCUCUUCAAUUAUGAAGUGAAUCUGUCCCCAUAUACUUGGUGUAAUUAACAUAAACCAUUAAAUUGUAUCACUUCUUAAGAUUCCAACAAUGGAUGAAUUUAAAAACAUCAAGGACCAAAACAUGGUAUGUGUAUUACACCCUUUCUACCACAAAAAGAAUCCCAUUUGCAAAAAAGCUUUCUUCUACAAGAAGAAUCAUCUUUUAUUAAUAGUAUUAUAAAAUAACACAAUGUCCCAAAGAUCGAUGUCAGGAUUUCAUUAUCAUGCCACCACUGCACAACUACUGCACAACUAGCAACAUUUAAUUUUUAGGGAUUAACAUGGAACAAAUAUACAUAUUUGAUAUUUGUAAAAUUGUAAAUGGGUAUCCUUUUGUAAAAUGGAGGGAAUAAUAUUUAUCCUAUUCUCAUUAAUUAUCUAUAUCAACUUAACACUUUUCUUUAUUUUGACUACCUGGGAUUCUCUGUCAUUUAUAAUGGCUAGUUUUAAGAACCAUCUUGAAAAAUUUGACUACCAGUACCAGAAAAUAAGCUCAUAAUCAGAAAAGCACAAGUAUCUGGCAUAUAUCCUUCACAAUAUUCAUCCAUAAAUCAAAAUAUGUAGUAUGAGAACGCCAGUGAAAGGCUNNNNNNNNNNNNNNNNNNNNNNNNNNNNNNNNNNNNNNNNNNNNNNNNNNNNNNNNNNNNNNNNNNNNNNNNNNNNNNNNNNNNNNNNNNNNNNNNNNNNUAAUAAUAUUAUUUUUUAAAAAAAACUUAAAGCUAGCAAAAGAUGCGGAUUUACCUGAAUUUCAACCUUUUAUUUUUCAACAGCAUCGUAUUGAUUCCAAAAAUAUGUCUGCCAAGGAAGGAAAAGAUUUGCCAUUCCUCCUUAUGGGGGCAACCACAAAAACCGGGUAAAACCUCCGGCGGGAAAGUGUGGACCCAAAUACCCGACUAAUGUAGACUGAUAUUUUGAUGACGGGCCAGGCCUGUACAAUAGAAUGGAACUUCUCUAAAUUUGGCCCAAUUGACAGCUGAAAUUCUCUAUACUAUGAUAGGAGUAUUUUUCAAACACCACUACGUAACCCACUCCAAAUGACGUGGUCUGUGGAGUUUUUAAUGACGGUGGCACAUUAUGCGAGGGAAAAUAAUUUUUUUUUAAAAAAUUGAAGUAUUGUUAUUUCUAUAACAACAAUUUAAUAUUUUCACAUGGUGUUAUUCAUAUGGGCCAAAACUUACACUUCUCUCGAGGCACUCUUACCUAUCUCUCUCUCUCUCUAGAAUUCUGUAAGUAUGAAAUUUAUUUUUUAAUAAGUUUUAAUUGGUCAAUAAAAUAUUGACACAUAGAACAUCGCCUCAGUACUCUAUUAACCAAUUGAUCAACUUACUCAAAAAUAACUUUCGUGCUAACCACUUCUAUAUAUAUAUAUAUAUAUGUCCAAGUAUUAAAAAUGAACAAUCAUCGUUCAAUAUACCAACCAAAANNNNNNNNNNNNNNNNNNNNNNNNNNNNNNNNNNNNNNNNNNNNNNNNNNNNNNNNNNNNNNNNNNNNNNNNNNNNNNNNNNNNNNNNNNNNNNNNNNNNUAUAUAUAUAUAUAUAUAUAUAUAUAUAUAUAUAUAUAUAUAUACAGAAAUGAUCAAGUAAGGGAUCUCUUAUUUUCUUAAAAUGAGGGAUUUUUUUUUUAUUUUUUUUUUAAAAAAACUAAAAAAAAAAGUUUAAUAUUUUAUGGAACUGAAAUUUUUCCAUAAUACAAUGUUUUGGGCGUGUUUUGAAUACCUAUACCAAAAAGUGGUGGUACAGUCUGCCCAGACUGUACAUACAUGUUUUGUUAUACGUACCCAAAUCACACCCAAAACACUGUAUUAUGAAAAAAUUUCAGUUCCAUAAAAUAUUAAACUUUUUUUUAGUUCUUUUAAAAAAAAAGCAAAAAAAAAGCAAAAAAAAAAAAGUCCCUCAUACCAUAUAUAUAUAUAUGGGGGCGGAUCAAUAUUACUCAAUUUUUUCACACAAUUUUUUAUAUAAUUUUUUGACUCUUGAAUUUGAACACUUUUAAUAAUUAAGAUUAAAAUUGAUUUUUAAUUUGUAACUAAAUUUUUCAAUUUUCAUCUUUUUAGGUUUAAAAUUUCAACCUAAAACUGUCAAAUUAUAAGAAAUCCAAGAUAUAUCAUCCAACUCUCAAAACGUUAAGAUUAUUAUGGGAAAUAAUCCAUAGCAUCUAUUUGCUAUAGAUAAAAAAUAACAUAUAACAUCCAUACCGUCCGUUUAACAAAUCAGUGACUGAGAUUUAAACUGAGAAAUAGUCGUCCGCUAGACUUACUAGCGGACCUGUUUAAUCAAAAUUGUGAACGCAUUUACCUCCCAAUUGGUUCUACUCUGACUUCCAUUUUGAUUAAACAGGUCCGCUAGUAAGUCUAGCGGACGGCUAUUUCCUAUCUAAAUCUCAGUCAUUAAUUUGUUAAAUGGACGAUAUGAAUGUUAUAUACCAUUUUUUAAUUCAUAACAAAUAAAUAUUAUAAAUCAUUCCCUAUAUAUAUAUAUAUAUAUAUAUAUAUAUAUAUAUAUAUAUAUAUUAUACAACUAAUUUUGAAUUUAUCGCUGACGUUAAUAAAUGAUUUAAGCUGUUCAAAACAUAAAUCUCACCGUCGUGUAAUUUCGGAGCCACUGACCACCGUUUAUAUAGUGCGGGAGCCACGGAGACAGCUGGUAUAUAUAUAUAACGGAAACUUGUGACCACUGCUCACCCCCUCUCUAAACUUUCACUGUAAGCAUAGAGAUUCAUUUCGUUUUUAUAUCUUCGAUCUAUUUGUUUCUCGAGAUUCUUUGAGGAAGAAAGAGAAUUAAUGGCUUCUCAGAAAAAUGUCGGAAUUCUCGCCAUGGAUAUCUACUUCCCUCCUUCUUGUAUCCAGCAGGUGAAUCUACGACCUUUUGAUAUUUUAUUUGAUAAUUGAUGGAUCUUUCUAUCUAUAUGUCAUUUCGAAGUAUCUGCUUUGGUUGUGUGUUUUUGGAAAAGUUAUCAUUUUG
rnacentral:lncRNA from 1 species